ACGGUUAAUGCAUGUCAUUGCAGUGGUUAGGUGGUUCGUAUUUAUACGUUUUGUGGUUACGUUGUUAUUAUGUGUAUGGAUUUUUUUUUUAAAUGUUCUGGUUUCAUGUGGUUCUGUGUUACAGGUCUCUCCGAUUUCGACCGUGGAACACACCCUUAGUUCUUGGGACACUGAUACCCCUAUUCUGUUGGAAGUGUUCUAAUACCUAAGUGGUUUCCCACUAUUUGAGUGUGAUGAUGUUGGUUGAGGGUAUAUGUAUGGAUAGGUGGAUCGGAUGAUGUGUUCCUGUUAGAGAUAGAAUACAUCAUCCGAAUAUUUUUUUUUGCCGGUGUUUGUGGGAUGAUAAUUUCUGCCCUCCCUCAUUUGGCCAUCUACCACACAGUGGAAUAAAAAGUGAGUGAUAGUGGUAAAAUUAAAUUCAAAUAUUAAAAAAGAAACAGUUGGACCACCAGAUUCUAAAAUAGAAAGAAAAGAUAUUUAAGAAAGUGAAAUAAGUGAAAUGUUAAUUGGUGCCAACAAUUUUGGAUAAAGGAACUCAGCAAACAACAAGUAAAGUUUGAUUCCCGGCGGCCCGAAUUAAAUCAUGGAGAGCGGGGCCGCCGCCCAAAAAAAAAAACAAAAUUUUUGAAAUUUAAUAAAAUUCAAAAACAGGAAAAAUUUGAAAUUAAAUAAAAUUCAAAAAAAAUUUUAGAAUACAAAGUUGAAAUUAAAUAAAAUUUAAAAACUGAAAAAAAAACAAUGAAGAAAAAUCUGAAAUUAAAGGAAAUUUAAAAAAAAAGAAAACUUGAAAGAAAAGGAAAUUUAUACGGGAACCAAAUUGAGAAGAAAACAAAACAAUCAAUUUAUAAAUUAUGGAACUAUAAAGAAAGUAAAUUUGGCCCACAACAUAUGCGUACAUCUCCAUAUCAUAUAUUUCUUCGUACCUAACCGGUGGAUCUUUUUGUGUUUGUGAUUGUCCUAUAUUUAAGUUUUUUUUGAAAUUUACCAAAUUAAUUUAUCGGCGUGGAAGUUAAUUUUUUUGUUUAAUUCCAUAAUCUUUUUUGUAUCUUUUUUAUUGUGAGGUGCGAAAAGAAACGGUUGGUGUUAAUUUCGUGUUCGGUCCCGUAAAUUUUUUGUUGUAUAGGGUCCUAAAAGAUACCUCCUGCGAGCUCUUUAGGGGUAGGGAAUUAGGGCUCCGUUAAUCGGUCGCAUUCGCUCCGUAAUCAAAUACCAAAAAAAAGGCACUUCUACGCAAAGGUAGAAACAAAUAAAGACGUAGGACUACCAACCCGGCUUUUUUUUGUUACCAGUUUUUUUUCU